rnacentral:rRNA from 1 species
GAUGAACGCUAGCGGCAGGCCUAACACAUGCAAGUCGAGGGGCAGCACAUAAAGUGGUUUACUACUUUUGGUGGCGACCGGCGGACGGGUGCGUAACGCGUAUGCAACCUGCCUCCAACAGGGGGAUAACGGAGAGAAAUUUCCACUAAUACCCCAUAAUAUCAGAAUCGGCAUCGGUUUUGGUUGAAAACUCCGGUGGUUGGAGAUGGGCAUGCGUUGUAUUAGAUGGUUGGUGAGGUAACGGCUCACCAAGUAAACGAUACAUAGGGGGACUGGGAGGUUAGCCCCCCACACGGGUACUUAGACACGGACCGGACUCCUACGGGAGGCAGCAGUGAGGAAUAUUGGUCAAUGGGGGCAACCCUGAACCAGCCAUGCCGCGUGCAGGAAGACGGCUCUAUGAGUUGUAAACUGCUUUUACAAGGGGAUAAAUCGGUGUACGUGUACACCGUUGAAGGUACCUUGGGAAUAAGGAUCGGCUAACUCCGUGCCAGCCGCCGCCGUAA